rnacentral:tRNA from 1 species
GUCGGGUUGGCUGAGUGGCUUAAAGCAGCAGUUUGCUAAACUGUCGACCGUGGAAACGCGGUCCGAAGGUUCGAAUCCUUCACCCGACGCCA